UUGUAUCCCUAGGGGUGAACUGCUCAAUCAAGAACAAACGAAUGUUCUUGACCUUGCUUUGGCAGGCCACAAUGUUUUCUUUUGUGGUUCCGGCGGUACGGAGAAAACAUUAGUGAGUUUGGGAAACGCAACGCGAACGCGACGGCAACGUUGAAUUUUGCGCGGUUGGACUGGAUCGAGUUUAAGUUGACGAUGUCGCGUUUGCUGAAGUUCUGUUCACAACGGCAUUAGACAGACUUAGAUCGAGGACGUGACGUUAAGAGGACGCGAGAUAGCGUAAUAUGGCGCAAAAAUAUUGCGUUGUCUCAGAUGGCGACGUCGUCUUACCUAUUUUCAGGACGCCGAAAACGAAUUUUCACGUCCUGUCUAGGACGUCAAAGUUUUUGUUGUUUUUGUCCUUGCGAAAAGAUUUAAUGGUGGUCCUUUUAGAAAACCAAAUAUGGAAAAGAAAAAGGAUUGUUCAAAGAAAAAGUCCAGUAUGGUAUGGUCUAAUGAGAAAGAUCUCACACUUCUAAAGGAAGUUGCAGCAGAAGGUGUACUCACACACAAACAGAGAUCCCGGGAACGUGGUGCACAGUGGCAGAAUGUUGCAGAUAAUAAGUGGGUUGGGCCACGAAUUCACAUCAAGGGCAGUCAGAGAUCACUUCAACAUGAUGACCAAGAAGUAUCGAGCAAGAAUGGAACGAGAGGAAAGAUCGACAGGGGAAGGUGGUAAUGAACUCAGAGCAGGAGCGCUUGUUGGAAGAGCUGAUUGACAUUGAAGGUGAAACUGAACGACAGGAGGAUGAAAAUGAAGUAAGAAAUCAGAGGAUUGAGCAAGAAAGAGGACAAGCCUUGGAAAUGAGAGAAAGGGCAAUGGAAAGAAUUCGACAAACAAAGAAGACAACUGCAGGGACAAGUGAAACUGCUGGACAAGUACAAAAGAGAAGAAGUUCUGGUGAUAUGAUGGAAUGGCUACAACAAAGAAUAGAA